GAUGAACGCUGGCGGCGUGCCUAAUACAUGCAAGUCGAGCGAACAGACUAGGAGCUUGCUCCUCUAAGGUUAGCGGCGGACGGGUGAGUAACGCGUGGAUAACCUACCUAUAAUACUGGGAUAACUUCGGGAAACCAAUGCUAAUACCGCAUAAUAUAUUUAACCGCAUUGUUCAAUAGUGAAAGACGGUUUUGCUGUCCCUAAUAGAUGUAUCCGUGUCUAAUUAUUUAGUUGGGAAGGUAACAGCCAACCAAGGCAACGUAGCUUACCUGACCUGAGUGGUUGAUCGGCCACAUGGGAACUGAGACACGGUCAAGACUCCUACGGAGGGCGGCAGUAGGGAAUUUUGGGCAAUGGGCGAAAUCCUGACGCAGCAAAGCCGCUUGGUGGAUGAAGGUCUUCGGAUUGUAAAACCCUUUUAUUAGGGAAGAAGAUGGGUGGAAUGAAAUCCGCAUGUAUUGACGGUAACUAAUCAGAAAGCAACGGCUAACUACGUG
rnacentral:rRNA from 1 species